rnacentral:snRNA from 1 species
AUGCUAGCUUUGGCAGCACAUAUACUAAAAUUGGAACGAUACAGAGAAGGUUAGCAUGGCCCCUGUGCAAAGAUGACAUGCAAAUUUGUGAAGCGUUCUAUAUUUUU